rnacentral:rRNA from 1 species
UGGCGGACGGGUGAGUAACGCGUGGGUAACCUGCCUUACACAGGGGGAUAACACCUGGAAACAGGUGCUAAUACCGCAUAAGCGCACAGGGCCGCAUGGCCCGGUGUGAAAAACUCCGGUGGUGUAAGAUGGACCCGCGUCUGAUUAGCUUGUUGGCGGGGUAGAGGCCCACCAAGGCGACGAUCAGUAGCCGGACUGAGAGGUUGACCGGCCACAUUGGGACUGAGAUACGGCCCAGACUCCUACGGAAGGCAGCAG